rnacentral:rRNA from 1 species
ACUCCUACGGGAGGCAGCAGUGGGGAAUAUUGCACAAUGGGCGCAAGCCUGAUGCAGCCAUGCCGCGUGUAUGAAGAAGGCCUUCGGGUUGUAAAGUACUUUCAGCAGUGAGGAAGGUGGUGUCGUUAAUAGCGGCAUCAUUUGACGUUAGCUGCAGAAGAAGCACCGGCUAACUCCGUGCCAGCAGCCGCGGUAAUACGGAGGGUGCGAGCGUUAAUCGGAAUUACUGGGCGUAAAGCGCAUGCAGGUGGUUUGUUAAGUCAGAUGUGAAAGCCCGGGGCUCAACCUCGGAAUUGCAUUUGAAACUGGCAGACUAGAGUACUGUAGAGGGGGGUAGAAUUUCAGGUGUAGCGGUGAAAUGCGUAGAGAUCUGAAGGAAUACCGGUGCGAAGGCGGCCCCCUGGACAGAUACUGACACUCAGAUGCGAAAGCGUGGGGAGCAAACAGGAUUAGAUACCCUGGUAGGAUAGCG